UCCUCUAAGGAUUUAAUUACCCUAUUUUAAUUAUUUUGUGUUCAAGACUCUUCGAUAUAUAUUUUUGUAGAUCGUUAAACCUCUCUGCUCUUUCGUCAAUACUUAUCAACGAUCUCAUAGUAUUGUUGAUUAGUGUAACUGCAUGAAGGGUGUUGGGAACAUUCUUUUCUCUCUAUUUUUUCCUCAUAGCCGAAUGGUGUUAAGACACAUUUGUUUUUCAUGUGUUAACAUUUUGUCCCUAUAUUCUUUGAAGGACCAAACAACGCCAAUCCAAG
rnacentral:lncRNA from 1 species